GCUGAACUCUUUCUUCUUUCCUAAUACAUGCAAGUCGAGCGAACAGACGAGGAGCUUGCUCCUCUGACGUUAGCGGCGGACGGGUGAGUAACACGUGGAUAACCUACCUAUAAGACUGGGAUAACUUCGGGAAACCGGAGCUAAUACCGGAUAAUAUAUUGAACCGCAUGGUUCAAUAGUGAAAGACGGUUUUGCUGUCACUUAUAGAUGGAUCCGCGCCGCAUUAGCUAGUUGGUAAGGUAACGGCUUACCAAGGCGACGAUGCGUAGCCGACCUGAGAGGGUGAUCGGCCACACUGGAACUGAGACACGGUCCAGACUCCUACGGGAGGCAGCAGUAGGGAAUCUUCCGCAAUGGGCGAAAGCCUGACGGAGCAACGCCGCGUGAGUGAUGAAGGUCUUCGGAUCGUAAAACUCUGUUAUUAGGGAAGAACAAAUGUGUAAGUAACUAUGCACGUCUUGACGGUACCUAAUCAGAAAGCCACGGCUAACUACGUG
rnacentral:rRNA from 1 species